UCUCCACAGUCCCUGAAGACACUGACUCUAACCAUGGAAUUCAGCAGGAUCUUUCUCUUCCUCCUGUCAGUAACUGCAGGUGUUCACUCCCAGGCUUAUCUACAGCAGUCUGGGUUUGAGCUGGUGAGGCCUGGGGCCUCAGUGAAGAUGUCCUGCAAGGCUUCUGGCUAUACAUUUACCAGUUACAAUAUGCACUGGGUAAAGCAGAGACCUGGACAGGGCCUGGAAUGGAUUGGAUAUAUUUAUCCUGGAAAUGGUGGUACUGUCUACAAUCAGAAGUUCAAGGGCAAGGCCAUAUUGACUGCAGACACAUCCUCCAGCACAGCCUACAUGCAGCUCAGCAGCCUGAACUCUGAGGACUCUGCCGUCUAUUUCUGUGCAAGCACAGUGUUAUGAC